CGGGACCCGCGCUUGCACAGUGGCGGCGACAUGGCACCAGCCGGAGGCCCACGAGUCAAGAAGGUGAGUUUCAGUCAAGCUGCCUUCUUCCUUUCUUCGCAGAGUUCGAAUCCCGCUUCAGCUACCUGACAAACCGUAAGGUCUUAGCUCUCGGCGAGGGGGCUGGGUGACCCAGAGCCUCAGUUUACCGGAUUGCGGGUGGAUUAGCAUUCCUGAAGCCCUUACGCAGCUCAGAAUUAACUGCGUUUGCCGGUAACCCCAAUUUGCGGGUGAGGAAACUGAAGCUCCGAGAGUCAGGCGACCUGCUCAGAGUCAGUGUUCACAGAAGAGGGAUCAGGGGUCAAGGUCUUGGACUUGGACUCAGCGGACCCUCCUUUUUCUUAGGGGUGCACAGGCAGCAUCCCCUAGGGUGGAGGUGGGAAGUUCACCGGUAGGUGUUCCUGUCAGUUUCCCUCAGGGUUGUAAAUAUGUCAAACCUGGCCCUGCGGCUUCACACCUGCCCCGGCAUGAAGCAAGGACACCAAGCAUUCACACCGGUGGGUAUGGUGGUCCGCUCUGUUGCCUUCAGCAGACACACGCAGAUCCGGCCCUUACCCCAAUGGCAGCUUCCCACAGCACUGAGGACUUCUUGUGCCAGCAGGGAUAGUCAAAUGACCAGAAAGGUGUGAACUUGGAAGAGGGGCCUCCCGGGACCCCACCCCAUCCCCCUACAGCCCACCUGGACACAUAAUUCAGAGUCCUGGGGGGCGUGCCCACCUCUGCUUUCCGAAUGCUAAGAAACUGGGAACCGAGAUGACCUACAGAGAAUGAUCUUAAUAAAGUCCAGGUUCAAUCACUUGCUAAGCUGUUAGUCAGCCAUUAACAGCUCCAAGUGAGAGAGGACUGAGAGGUCUCAGAUCCACCCUAACUGCAACAGUAAUUACCAACGACAGACGACCACCGACCACCGGUGGAGGACCAUCCUAAGAGAUGCUCCCUAAUGACAAAAGCUAAAAUGAGAUUAAUAAACAGACUUCUUUUAAAUGUGAAGAACACUGCUGCCUUCCCCUGAGAUUCUGUAUGUUCGGUUUUGCUUUGUUUUUUAUAAUUCGCUUUUAAAAAUGAAUUUUAUUAUAUUUGUGUGUGCAUUUAUUUGUUCUGUAUAUGUAUGGGUGUGCACAUACUGUGACG
rnacentral:lncRNA from 1 species